UACGGAGGGUGCAAGCGUUAUCCGGAUUCACUGGGUUUAAAGGUGCGUAGGAGGGCAGGUAAGUCAGUGGUGAAAUCUCCGAGCUUAACUUGGAACUGCCGUUGAUACUAUCUGUCUUGAAUAUUGUGGAGGUGAGCGGAAUAUGUCAUGUAGCGGUGAAAUGCUUAGAUAUGACAUAGAACACCAAUUGCGAAGGCAGCUUACUACACAGUUAUUGACGCUGAGGCACGAAAGCGUGGGGAUCAAACAGG
rnacentral:rRNA from 1 species